CGGAAAGCGGGAGGGACAAAUUGCCAAUGUUUGGAAUCUGGUUUCCAGGUUGCUGUUUUUGGGGGCUCUGGGUGUGGCGGUUGCCGUAGCUGAAAUCCGCUGCACCAUGUCGGCCUUCGAGAAGCCUCAGAUCAUCGCCCAUAUCCAGAAGGGCUUCAACUACACGGUGUUUGACUGUAAGUGGGUGCCCUGCAGCGCCAAAUUUGUGACCAUGGGCAACUUCGCACGGGGCACCGGCGUCAUUCAGCUGUACGAGAUCCAGCAUGGGGACCUGAAGCUGCUUCGGGAGGUGGGUGCCGGGUCGAGGAUCCGGACUGUCGUUGGGGCGAGUGCGGAUCCUGGGGUCUGCAUUCCUCUUUGCCAGAGCCUUCGUCCAGCGUCCCCCAAAGCAUGGCUUGAGCCGCGCGAGACCAGAGAAGCUGACCGCCGACUGAGGAAUGUUUCCUAUUUAAAACCUUUCUUCUCAUCCGCGGGGUAGUUCCUCCGCGCCCAACCGUCCUGCCACCCCCAGUGCAGUCCAGCCAAAGCGGGCACCAGGAUGCCUGCAGUGUGGUUGGAAGAGGCAACCUAACGCAUUCGACAGGUAUCAAUUGAGUGCCUGGUAUUCCCAGGCAUGUGAAUGAUUGAAAAGGCCAAACCUAUUAAAUGUGGAACAUUUGGUGCAACAUCUUUACAGCAGAGAUAUUUAGCUACUGGAGAUUUUGGUGGAAACCUUCAUAUAUG
rnacentral:sRNA from 1 species